GUGCUCAUUUCAGCAGCGCAUAUACUAAAAUUGGAACAAUACAGAAAUUAGCAUGGCCCCUGCGCAAGGAUGACAAGCAGAUUUGUGAAUCAUUCCAUAUUUAA
ensembl:snRNA U6 U6 spliceosomal RNA